CCCUUAGAUGUUCUGGGCUGCACGCGCGCUACACUGACGCACGCAACAGGUGCCUGCUCCGAGAGGACUGGGUAAUCAUUUGAGUGUGCGUCGUGAUGGGGAUUGAAUAUUGUAAUUAUUACUCUUCAACGAGGAAUUCCUAGUAAGCGCCAGUCAGCAGCUUGCGCUGAUUACGUCCCUGCCCUUUGUACACACCGCCCGUCGCUCCUACCGAUGGGUGAUCCGGUGAAUGAUUCGGACUUCAGCGGCUCCCCUGGGGUGCGCCGGAGAAAGUUUUGUGAACCUUAUCACUUGGAGGAAGGAGAAGUCGUAACA
rnacentral:rRNA from 1 species